rnacentral:rRNA from 1 species
AUUGAACGCUGGCGGCAGGCCUAACACAUGCAAGUCGAGCGAGCGGCGGACGGGUGAGUAAUGUCUGGGAACCUGCCCGAUGGAGGGGGAUAACUACUGGAAACUGUAGCUAAUACCGCAUACCAUCGGAUGUACCCAUAUGGGAUUAGCUAGUAGGUGGGGUAACGGCUCACCUAGGCGACGAUCUCUAGCUGGUCUGAGAGGAUGAUCAGCGACACUGGAACUGAGACACGGGCCAGACUCCUACGGGAGGCAGCAGUGGGGAAUAUUGCACAAUGGGCGCAAGCCUGAUGCAGCCAUGCCGCGUGUAUGAAGAAGGCCUUCGGGUUGUAAAGUACUUUCAGCGAGGAGGCGUUACUCGCAGAAGAAGCACCGGCUAACUCCGUGCCAGCAGCCGCGGUAAUUC